rnacentral:rRNA from 1 species
AGAGUUUGAUCCUGGCUCAGGAUGAACGCUAGCUACAGGCUUAACACAUGCAAGUCGAGGGGCAGCAUGUUGGUUGCUUGCAACCAACGAUGGCGACCGGCGCACGGGUGAGUAACGCGUAUCCAACCUACCCUUGUCCCAUCGGGAUAACCCGUCGAAAGGACGGCCUAACACGAUAUGCGGUUCACAGCAGGCAUCUAACGUGAACGAAAUGUGAAGGAGAAGGAUGGGGAUGCGUCUGAUUAGCUUGUUGGCGGGGUAACGGCCACCAAGGCUACGAUCAGUAGGGGUUCUGAGAGGAAGGUCCCCCACAUUGGAACUGAGACACGGUCCAAACUCCUACGGGAGGCA